rnacentral:rRNA from 1 species
UACGUAGGGUGCGAAGCGUUGUCCGGAAAUUAUUGGGCGUAAAGAGCUUCGUAGGCGGCUUGUCACGUCCGGGGUGUGAAAGCCCGGGGGCUUAACCCCGGGUCUGCAUUCGAUACGGGCAGGCUAGAGUGUGGUAGGGGGAGAUCGGAAUUCCUGGUGUAGCGGUGAAAUGCGCAGAUAUCAGGAGGAACGACCGGUGGCGAAGGCGGAAUCUCUCGGGCCGAUUACUGACGCUGAGGAGCGAAAGCGUGGGGAGCGAACAGG